UGGGGGAUAUUGCACAAUGGGCGAAAGCCUGAUGCAGCGACGCCGCGUGGGGGAUGAAGGCCUUCGGGUUGUAAACUUCUUUUGCUCUGAACAAGGCAUGCUAAUGGGUGUGUUGAGUGUAGGGGUUGAUUAGCGCCGGCUAACUACGUGCCAGCAGCCGCGGUAAUACGUAGGGCGCGAGCGUUGUCCGGAAUUAUUGGGCGUAAAGGGCUUGUAGGUGGCUGGUUGCGUCUGUCGUGAAAGCUCAUGGCUUAACUGUGGGUUUGCGGUGGGUACGGGCUGGCUUGAGUGCAGUAGGGGAGGCUGGAAUUCCUGGUGUGGCGGUGGAAUGCGCAGAUAUCAGGAGGAGUACCGGUGGCGAAGGCGGGUCUCUGGGCUGUUACUGACACUGAGGAGCGAAAGCAUGGGGAGCGAACAGG
rnacentral:rRNA from 1 species